AGGUGCUUGCCCCACCGAGAAGAGAGUGGCGGACGGUUGAGUAACACGUGGGCAACCUGCCCAUCAAAGGGGGAUAACACUUGGAAACAGGUGCUAAUACCGCAUAAUUCUUUUUGUCGCCUGACAGAAAGAUAAAAGACGCUUUCGGGUGUCUCUGAUGGAUGGUCCCGCGCUGCAUUACCUAGUUGGUGGGGUAACGGCUCACCAAGGCCAUGAUGCAUAGCCGACCUGAGAGGGUGAUCGGCCACACUGGGACUGAGACACGGCCCAACUCCUACGGGAGGCAGCAGUAGGGAAUCUUCGGCAAUGGACGAAAGUCUGACCGAGCAACGCCGCGUGAGUGAAGAAGGUUUUCGGAUCGUAAAACUCUGUUGUUAGAGAAGAACAAGUGAGAGAGUAACUGUUCUCACCUUGACGGUAUCUAACCAGAAAGCCACGGCUAACUACGUGCCAGCAGCCGCGGUAAUACGUAGGUGGCAAGCGUUGUCCGGAUUUAUUGGGCGUAAAGCGAGCGCAGGCGGUUCCUUAAGUCUGAUGUGAAAGCCCCCGGCUCAACCGGGGAAGGUCAUUGGAAACUGGGGAACUUGAGUGCAGAAGAGGA
rnacentral:rRNA from 1 species